AACGAACGCUGGCGGCAUGCCUAACACAUGCAAGUCGAACGAGACCUUCGGGUCUAGUGGCGCACGGGUGCGUAACGCGUGGGAACCUGCCCUUAGGUUCGGAAUAACUCCCCGAGAGGGGUGCUAAUACCGGAUAAUGUCUUCGGACCAAAGAUUUAUCGCCUUUGGAUGGGCCCGCGUUGGAUUAGCUAGUUGGUAGGGAAAAAGCCUACCAAGGCGACGAUCCAUAGCUGGUCUGAGAGGAUGAUCAGCCACACUGGGACUGAGACACGGCCCAGACUCCUACGGGAGGCAGCAGUGGGGAAUAUUGGACAAUGGGCGAAAGCCUGAUCCAGCAAUGCCGCGUGAGUGAUGAAGGCCUUAGGGUUGUAAAGCUCUUUUACCCGGGAUGAUAAUGACAGUACCGGGAGAAUAAGCUCCGGCUAACUCCGUG
rnacentral:rRNA from 1 species